rnacentral:rRNA from 1 species
GAUGAACGCUGGCGGCGUGCCUAAUACAUGCAAGUCGAGCGAACAGACGAAGAGCUUGCUCCUCUGACGUUAGCGGCGGACGGGUGAGUAACACGUGGAUAACCUACCUAUAAGACUGGGAUAACUUCGGGAAACCGGAGCUAAUACCGGAUAAUAUAUUGAACCGCAUGGUUCAAUAGUGAAAGACGGUUUUGCUGUCACUUAUAGAUGGAUCCGCGCCGCAUUAGCUAGUUGGUAAGGUAACGGCUUACCAAGGCAACGAUGCGUAGCCGACCUGAGAGGGUGAUCGGCCACACUGGAACUGAGACACGGUCCAGACUCCUACGGGAGGCAGCAGUAGGGAAUCUUCCGCAAUGGGCGAAAGCCUGACGGAGCAACGCCGCGUGAGUGAUGAAGGUCUUCGGAUCGUAAAACUCUGUUAUUAGGGAAGAACAAAUGUGUAAAUAACUAUGCACGUCUUGACGGUACCUAAUCAGAAAGCCACGGCUAACUACGUG